AGACCCGAAACCCGGUGAUCUAGCCAUGGGCAGGUUGAAGGUUGGGUAACACUAACUGGAGGACCGAACCGACUAAUGUUGAAAAAUUAGCGGAUGACCUGUGGCUGGGGGUGAAAGGCCAAUCAAACCGGGAGAUAGCUGGUUCUCCCCGAAAGCUAUUUAGGUAGCGCCUCGUGAACUCAUCUCCGGGGGUAGAGCACUGUUUCGGCUAGGGGGCCAUCCCGGCUUACCAACCCGAUGCAAACUGCGAAUACCGGAGAAUGUUAUCACGGGAGACACACGGCGGGUGCUAACGUCCGUCGUGAAGAGGGAAACAACCCAGACCGCCAGCUAAGGUCCCAAAGUCAUGGUUAAGUGGGAAACGAUGUGGGAAGGCCCAGACAGCCAGGAUGUUGGCUUAGAAGCAGCCAUCAUUUAAAGAAAGCGUAAUAGCUCACUGGUCGAGUCGGCCUGCGCGGAAGAUGUAACGGGGCUAAACCAUGCACCGAAGCUGCGGCAGCGACACUUUAGUGUUGUUGG
rnacentral:rRNA from 1 species